ensembl:snRNA U2 U2 spliceosomal RNA
AUCGCUUCUCGGCCUUUUGGCUAAGAUCAAGUGCAGAAUGCAGGUGAUACAAUCUAGAAAAGUGAUCUGGCUCUUAUUUGAAUUAUAAUUAUAACAAAUAUUUAUAUCAGAAGAAUUUUUAUAAUUCAUCUCAGCUUCUCCUCACAAAAGGCCCAAGAAGAAAGCAUUU